rnacentral:rRNA from 1 species
AAGUGAUUCCGCGCCGACAAUGUAGCGGGGCUCAAGUACACCGCCGAAACCGUGGCAUUCAGUUUUGCUGGAUGGGUAGGGGAGCGUCGUUCACGAGGUGAAGCCAGCGGGUAACUUCUGGUGGAUUGUGGACGAGUGAGAAUGCAGGCAUGAGUAGCGAAAGACGGGUGAGAAACCCGUCCGCCGGAUGACUAAGGGUUCCAGGGUCAAGCUAAUCUGCCCUGGGUAAGUCGGGACCUAAGGCGAGGCCGACAGGCGUAGUCGAUGGACAACGGGUUGAUAUUCCCGUACCAGUGAAGAACCGCCCAUGCUGAGCCGGUGAUACUAACCGCCCGAACCAUCCCGAACCCCGUCUUUGACGGGGUCGGUGAUGGGGAGCGCGGGACCUGAACCGGGGAGGCAAGCGCAUUAACAGGUGUGACGCAGGAAGGUAGCCGGGCCGGGCAAUGGAAAUGACUUGGUCUAAGGGUGUAGGG